CAUUAGAUAACUAAUUUAAGUACUGGUCUCUUAAACCAUUAAUAGUAAUUUUCCUACUUCUAAUGA
rnacentral:tRNA from 1 species